GAUGAACGCUGGCGGCGUGCCUAAUACAUGCAAGUCGAGCGAACAGACGCGGCGCUUGCUCCUCUCACGUUAGCGGCAGACGGGUGAGUAACACGUGUAUAACCUACCUAUAAGACUGGGAUAACUUCGGGACACCGGCGCUAAUCCCGGAUAAUAUAUUGAACCGCAUGGUUCAAUAGAGAAAGACGGCUUUUCUGUCUCGUCUAGAUGCAUCUGCGCCGCAUUAGCUAGUCGGUAAGGUCACGGCUUACCAAGGCAACGAUGCGUAGCCGACGUGAUAGAGUGAUCGGCCACACUGGAACUGGGACAGGGUCCAGAGUCCUACGGGAGGCAGCAGUAGGGAAUGUGCCGCAAUGGGCGAAAGCCUGACGGAGCGAGGCGGAGCGAGUGAUGAAGGUCUUCGGAUCGGGAAACUCGGUUAUUAGGUAAGAACAAAUGUGGAAGUAACUAUACACGUAGUGACGGUACCGAGUCAGAAAGCCACGGCUAACUACGUG
rnacentral:rRNA from 1 species